ensembl:lncRNA
AUGUAUCUGUGGAUUUUAUGUUGGACAGAGUAUCUGGAGACCAGGAGGCUGUGUUGCAGUCAGCCCAUGUUGGUAAUGCAGGAUAGGCAAGAUGGCCAGUUAUCACCCUCCUUGUGCUCAGAAUUCUACCUGGUGGCAGAAGCCACCUGUUCUAGGAGAGUCUUCUCUUGGGACAGUCUCAGCCUCAGUUUCCGUGGCUAUUGGAAGAAAUUUCGUUUCAAGUCCUUCGUGUCUGAGCCCCUCCGUGUCACCUGUAUCGUGACCAAAGGGUUGGUCAGCAUACAGGACACCAGCAACUCUGGGACUGUCUCCAUGACAACACAUCAGCACAUCCUGCCCUCAGAGCCCUGGAGGCCCUACCCUACAUUCUUGUACCACUUAUAAUGAUCAUUCUUGAUAUUCUGUAACUGAUGAUUCAGCAUCCUGCAAUCAUGAAAAAAUUAAUGACCCAUGUUGUUUACAUUUCCCCUGUGGUCUGACUUUUGUGGGUGCUUAAAAGUCAUAUUACGAACCUUUCAACCACAAAGCCCAAAAUUGGGUUUUGCUUCCUACCUAAUAGGAGAUGUCCUCACCUAAAAACUUGCUACCACUAUAGAAAUAAAAACUUUUUACCCAUAUUUUCUUCUUGCUCCUUUCUGCCUCCUGAGCAACCCUGGUGCUUCCCCAUGUGGUCCUGUGUGGCAUAGUGUGCCCUCUUCCUGUUGGGGACUAUAAGUAAUCAAUCUUCUUUCUUUAGUGGCAUUGAUCUCUGAGUAUGUCAUCACUCAGUCAAUGUAAUAUAAAUUUAUCAGUUUAAUGUUGGUAAAUUAAAUUCCAAGCACAUUUUACAGUACUGCCUGGCACAGCUCACAACGAAAGACUGGCAAGGCCCUGGAGGAGCUAAAAUUAUGGCAAGGGUGAAUAUGAUUCAGAGAUGACAUUUGACUCUGCUCCACAGAUCCCNNNNNNNNNNUUCUGCCCCAAACCUACAGACCUUAUUCUAAGUAUGUCAAAGUUUCCCCAGAACUCCCCAAACACUCAUCUCCAGUUGUCCCCAAUCAUGAUACUCUGCUCCACUGAGCCUCCAUUCUCCACCCUAUAUCUUGGAAUGCUGUACAGAGAAGGAGGACUGGAUUUCUGCCAGGACCAAGGCCAGCUCUGAGAACCAUGAUGGUAGGAUAGGGCCAGGUUUACAGUCCUAGAAACUAUUCUCCCCUUGCAAUCAGUUCUGAGGGUAAGGUAUCCCUGGUCCUAGGUUUCAGGGCUGAACUGAAGGAAGGAAAAAGGAGCAGGUAUUUACUCUGGCUUACUAAGCAAGAUCGAACUCCUCAGAGCUCAUGAGGUUGAGGAUACAAACCCUACUGUGAGAUGCAAUGGUCAGGGUGUAUAUGUGACUGUGUCUAUGAAAACAUGUGCAUUCUUACAGCAGUGUGAUACAUAAGCUUGCUAUAUUGUGGCACAAUGAUUCUUCAUUCAUCAGUCCUCCCAUCUCUUUGAAGCCAACCCACUAGCUACUACACAGCCUGUGCCCCUUGCCCCUAUAACUCAGAAUUUAGACAGAAUUUAUCCCUGCUGGCUCACAUNNNNNNNNNNNNNNNNNNNNNNNNNNNNNNNNNNNNAUCAACCCCAUAAAGGCUUAGUGAGGAAGCAAAUACUUUAUUGAACUGCUGUUUGCAGGGUACACUUGUGAACCUCCCAUGUGGAGCAUUUAAAAGAUACCUUGGAACAAGAGGGCUAUAGAUGUGCUUUUGUGUGUUCACAAGUGUGUCCAGAUCCACGGAGGGCAUCUGUGUGUAUUGAUGUGUGACUCUCAGUAUAUGUGUGUUUAUGAGGUGUGAGACUGAAUGUACAUAUAUGGUGUGGGUAUAAGACUUAUGUAGGUGAGAAAGAUGUGUGCUCUGAGAAGG